UAGGGAAUCUUCGGCAAUGGACGAAAGUCUGACCGAGCAACGCCGCGUGAGUGAAGAAGGUUUUCGGAUCGUAAAACUCUGUUGUUAGAGAAGAACAAGGACGUUAGUAACUGAACGUCCCCUGACGGUAUCUAACCAGAAAGCCACGGCUAACUACGUGCCAGCAGCCGCGGUAAUACGUAGGUGGCAAGCGUUGUCCGGAUUUAUUGGGCGUAAAGCGAGCGCAGGCGGUUUCUUAAGUCUGAUGUGAAAGCCCCCGGCUCAACCGGGGAGGGUCAUUGUAAACUGGGAGACUUGAGUGCAGAAGAGGAGAGUGGAAUUCCAUGUGUAGCGGUGAAAUGCGUAGAUAUAUGGAGGAACACCAGUGGCGAAGGCGGCUCUCUGGUCUGUAACAGACGCUAAGGCUCGAAAGCGUGGGGAGCAAACAGG
rnacentral:rRNA from 1 species